CCUACGGGCGGCAGCAGUCGAGAAUCAUUCACAAUGGGGGAAACCCUGAUGGUGCGACGCCGCGUGGGGGAAUGAAGGUCUUCGGAUUGUAAACCCCUGUCAUGUGGGAGCAAAUUAAAAAGAUAGUACCACACGAGGAAGAGACGGCUAACUCUGUGCCAGCAGCCGCGGUAAUACAGAGGUCUCAAGCGUUGUUCGGAAUCACUGGGCGUAAAGCGUGCGUAGGCUGUUUCGUAAGGCGUGUGUGAAAGGCGCGGGCUCAACCCGCGGACGGCACAUGAUACUGCGAGACUAGAGUAAUGGAGGGGGAACCGGAAUUCUCGGUGUAGCAGGGAAAUGCGUAGAUAUCGAGAGGAACACUCGUGGCGAAGGCGGGUUCCUGGACAUUAACUGACGCUGAGGCACGAAGGCCAGGGGAGCGAAAGGGAUUAGAUACCCGUGUAGUC
rnacentral:rRNA from 1 species